ensembl:snRNA U6 U6 spliceosomal RNA
GUCUUGGUCGCUUUACCAAGAUAUAUCCUAAAUUGAAAAAAUACAGAGAUGUUUAGCAUGGCCUUUGUGCAAAGAUGACAGGUAAAUUAAAAAAAAAAAAACAAAAAACU